rnacentral:rRNA from 1 species
UACGAAGGGGGCUAGCGUUGUUCGGAUUUACUGGGCGUAAAGCGCACGUAGGCGGAUUGGUCAGUUAGGGGUGAAAUCCUGGAGCUCAACUCCAGAACUGCCUUUAAUACUGCCAGUCUCGAGUCCGGAAGAGGUAAGUGGAACUCCUAGUGUAGAGGUGGAAUUCGUAGAUAUUAGGAAGAACACCAGUGGCGAAGGCGGCUUACUGGUCCGGUACUGACGCUGAGGUGCGAAAGCGUGGGGAGCGAUCCGG